rnacentral:tRNA from 1 species
GGGCCGGUGGUCUAGCCCGGCUAUGAUACUGUUCUUCGGAACGGAAUCGCCGAGUGAUACCGCAUUGACAUGCGAGCCUGACUCCCACGCACGCUCAAACGUGCGGUGGUCACGAGUUCAAAUCUCGUCCGGCCCA